rnacentral:lncRNA from 1 species
GGGGCGCAGCAGCCGGGGGCCCAGGCACCGCCGGGGGAGGGAGCGCUGCGGCUAACGUCGGCUCCAGCGACCGCCAGAGGCCGGCGAGCACAUGGGGUGCGCGCGCAGUCGUCGACGGAGCAGCCCCCCCGCGGGCGCGACAGCCGAGCGGCGCUGCCCCCCCGCACUCCGAGACCGCGGGCCCAGGGGCGCUGGCCGCGAAUUCGGCACCGCGGGGCACACGCCCCAAGGCCUGCCUUACCCGGACGGGAGGACAAGCGGGGACGCCCAGCACUCAAGGCUGACGCUCAGAGGCACUCGGAGCUCCCCGAUCCUCAGCUCCCAGCGAGGCCAACCGUGGGUCCCAAUUCCGGGCUGCAGGGCCGCGCUCCUCCACGCCGGCCUCCCUUGCACGUGGGAAACGCAGAGAGCCUGGGAAUUCCACUGACGCUGGCAUCUGUGAGCCGCACAAUGAAACCCCGUGUCUGAUUUCCUGCCCUGAGCCCUUGAGGGAGAGGGAGUAAGAGGAUUUGGGGGGCUGCGGAGCAGGGACGCUGCUGGUUCUACUGUGAGCCAAGCGGACAGGGAAGGACCCUGAGCUCGUCCCGCCUCGCCGCGCUGUCGGGGCGCCCCGGGCACCUCGCACACCCCGACCUCGCAGCCGUAGUGAGCACCACGGGCAGGGGAGCACCCGCCCGCCCCCGGCUCCCCGCGCCGGGGGGCCUGGAGCCUGCCGCCUGGGGGGUCCCUGCCGCCGCCCAGGAGUCUCACCCCCCCAAGGGCAAGGGCGGAGCCGCCCCCAGGAUCCAUCCCGGCGGUCCGGCUCGGGGCCCACGCCGGUUCAGUCCCCAAUCAGGCGGCAGGAGUCAGCAUUCUAGAAACAGUCCCUCCGCGGAGGGAACUGCAGGCGAGCAGCAGGGUCCUCGGCCUGACGGCGGGGACUGCGGGGACGGGCGGCCCGGAGCCCCCCGGAGCCCCGGGGCUGUGGGAGGAACCUGAGGCCCAGGGCGAGGGCAGGAGGGGGGGCUGGCCUCCGAAGCGAGGGCCCUGGACUCGUGGGGGGACUGCUGUCGCCCGCGGGGAAGGAGGAAGCCACAUGACCCUCCAAGGGGGGACCCCGCGCAGGAGGGGGCUGCUGAGGCCCCGGCUUCCCGCCGCUGGGCCUGGCCUGGGCGCCCCACCUCUGCUGUACCCCCGCCCCCCGCUGCCAUUCCUGCUGCAAUGACUGUGGUUCUUAGGCCUCGUGUGCUUUCCCACACCUGCCUGGACGCUCCCCUGUGUUUGAAGGAAGCCCCGCACCCAGCCUGGGGCUGGGACGCCCCACCCCGACACCCAGGGGUGCGGCCCUGGCGACCGGCCGCCCAGCUGCGCCUGGCCUGGGCCCCUCGGAUGUCGGCUCUUCCCGUGACGCCUUGCCCUGGGUCCUCGGGUCCGUGUAGCUCAGGGGC